AUUGAACGCUGGCGGCAUGCCUAACACAUGCAAGUCGAGCGAGCGGCGGACGGGUGAGUAAUGUAUGGGGACUGCCCGAUAGAGGGGGAUAACUACUUGAAACGGUAGCUAAUACCGCAUACUAUCGGAUAACCCAUAUGGGAGUAGCUUGUAGGUGAGGUAAUGGCUCACCUAGGCGACGAGCCAUAGCUGGUCUGAGAGGAUGAUCAGGUACACUGGGACUGAGACACGGCCAGAACUCCAAGGGAGGGAGCAGUGGGGAAUAUUGCACAAUGGGCGAAAGCCUGAUGCAGCCAUGCCGCGUGUAUGAAGAAGGCCCUAGGGUUGUAAAGUACUUUCAGUCGGGAGGCGUUACCGGCAGAAGAAGCACCGGCUAACUACGUGCCAGCAGCCGCGGUAAUAC
rnacentral:rRNA from 1 species